rnacentral:lncRNA from 1 species
AUAUUGCAGAAGAGGGAGAUAUGUGAGAUCAUAGGAGCUGGUCACCAGAGUGUUGACAUCACCAAGCCUAAUUUCAGUGUGUCAGCCUAUGGGCAGUAAAGCCUUUCCUGACCCUGGGUUGUGGUGAAGGAAAGGGCAGCAUUUGUUGCAGGUUGCCAAGGUGGCUAAUGCUCAAAUAACCCAGUGGGUGGGGAGUUCCCAUCAUGUCUCAGUGGAAAUGAAUCUGACCAGUAACCAUGAGGAUGCAGGUUUGCUCCAGGGCUUUGCUCCAUGGGUUAAGAAUCCAGUUUUGCAGUGAGCUGUGAUGUUGGUCACAGACACACUUGGAUCCUGCAUUGCAGUGGCUGUGACAUAGGCCAGAGGCUACAGCUGCCAUUUGACCCCUAGCCUGGGAACUUCCAUAUGUCACAGGUGUGGCCCUAAAAACAAAAACAAAACAAAACAAAACCCAGUGGCUUUUAGUGAAAAGUUUUUAAAGACAGAGUGAGGGAGAGUGUUGCAGGUGCAUGACCACCUGGGGGACAUUCCUCUGAUUGGUUGGUGGUGAGGUAAUCAGGAGUCAACAUCAUCAGUCUUGGUUUCCACCCAGUCCACAUGCUUGUCUUGAGAAAGCAGGUAACUUUUCCUACCUGUUAGGGGUUUCAGUGUUUGCCAAGCAGCUCAAAUGAUUUGGCUCAGAAUAUUACCUGUAGCCCUUGAGGAGGAACUAAAAAUCCUUGACUUGGUUUCAUGGGUAAAUCAUUCUUUUUUGUCUGGCUCGAUUGUUUCCUUUCUUUCUGUGUUUUUCUCACUUCUCUGAUUACAUAUAUUCUUUGGAACUCAGGGAAGGCCUAGGAGGCUAACAUUUGUCUACAAACCAGCAGAAGGCCAAGGGCGUGGAAUGGAGCAGGGGAGGUGGGACUUUCCCAGGAAGACUCCCUAGGGUCCUGUUCAGUUUCAUCCAGAGAGGACAGGGAGAACAAAGAGGUGACUGAUGAUUGAUCAGCAAGUUGGGCUUGGCUGAUUGGAGGUACAUUUACCCCACCUGUGUCCUUGAAAUGUACACUCUGCCUGUGGUUCCCAGGCUGGGAGCCACUUUGGAGGAGGCAGGCUUGAAGGAACAGUGUAUUGCUGAGACUCUCUGAACAACAUGCAUGUUUGAACCCACUGAAGGCCUCUGUAAAAGCUUUCAAGAUCCUAGCCAGCGGGGGUGGAGAGCUGAUUUUGGCUACCAAGACAAGCCUUGUAAGUUCCCUCACUUAUUAAAACUGCCUCAUACCAUUCUGGGGCAGGGGGAUGGUGACUGGCUCUAUUUGUAGGGGCCAGUUUGUGAACAGACAGCCUGGUUUUCUGCCCCCCUCCUCCAUGGCAACUGAAUUAUGCUUUAUGUGAAUGGAGGGGCUUGUGUGUGGGUGUUUUUCCUAUCCUCUUGAUCUUUCAUAAGCAUCUUCCCUAAUAUAUUUUUCCCCUAAUUAUGUUUUGGCAUUUGUUUAUUGUGGGACUGAACUGAUACUAGAAUUAACAGAAAACUUUCAGCAAUUGUGUGCUUUUUCAUGUGGUUUCCACUCUUUGGUUAUUAUGAAUAGUGCUGCUAAGAACCUUCAUGUACAGGCUUUUAUGUGGACAAAGGUUUUCUUAGUUAUACACCUAGGAAUGGAAUUCCUGGUUGGUGUAGUAACUCUAUGUUUGAACAUUUUGAGAAACUGCCCAUGUUUUCCUAAUUGGCUGCAUUGUUUCAACUUCUUAGUAUAAAUAUAGAAGGGUUCACCCUCCUCUUAUUCCUUGCUAACAUUUUGAUAUUGUCCAGUAAUUUUUUUUACAAUUUAAUCAUCCUAGUGGAAGUGAUGUGAUAUCUCAUUGUGAUUUUGAUUCAUAUUUCCUGAUGAUUAAUGAUGCUAAGUAUUGUUCAUGUGCUAAUUGGCUAUUUGCAUUUUUUUUUAAUUUGGAAAAAUCUCUCUUUAAAUCCUUUGCACAUUUUAAAAUUGGGUUAUUAUUCCAUUUGUUGAAGUGUAAGAAUACUUUCUAUAUUCUUAUGCAAAUAUCUUAUCAACUAUGUGAUAUAUAACUCCAUUCAUCUGUUGGUGGACACUUAGGUUGCUUCCAUAUCUUGGCAAUUGUAAAUAAUGCUGCUAUAAAUAUUGGGGUGCAUGUAUCUUUUUGAAUUAGUUUUUUUGGGAGGGUUACAUACAAAAGAGUGGAAUUGUUGGGUCAUAUGGUAGUUCUAUUUUAGUUUUUGGAGACACUACUAUACUGAUUUCCAUAAUGGCUGCACCAACUUACAGUCUCUCCAACAGUGUACUGGGAUUCCCUUUUCUCCAUGUCCUUGCCAACAUUUGUUAUUUACAUUCUUUCUGAUGACAACCAUUCUGACAGGUGUGAGGUGAUAUCUCAUUGCAGUUUGAUUUGCAUUUCUCUGAUGAUUAGUGAUGUUGAGCAUCUUUUCAUGUGAAGUACUAAACAUGAAUUAGUACUUAGUUACUUAGUUUGCAGUAAGUUUUGAAAUCAGGAAGUAUGAGUCGACUAAUUUUAGUCUUCUUUUUCCAGAAUGUAUUGGUUAUUCUGGUUCCAUUGCAUUUCCAUGUGAAUUUUAGGAUUGGCUUGUCAUUUUCUGCAAAAUUUAUAGCUGAGAUAUUUAAUGGGGAUUGUAUUGAAUUCAGAGCAUUUAUUAUUUCUACUAGGUAUUUGUGGGGAUUGAUUUCUUAAGAAUUUAAAACUAUAGAGCAUCUGCCAUAUACAAGUAGAUAUGAUUUUCCUUCUUUACAAUCUAGAUGCCUUCUAUUUCCUUUUACUUAGACGUGCUGAUUGGAACCUCUAGCACAAUGUUAAAUGGAAGUGGCAAGAGUUAUUGUUCUUCUUGAUCCUAGGAGGGCAGGAAUAGGAAGACUAGCUAAAGGGAUCGUGGAGCUCACAAGUAAAAGAGAUCCUGUCUGAUGAUUAGAGUGGGCUGGUGUGGGAGGGUACUUUUUGAAGAUGACAUGGUACUUAAACUAGGUGGGCUUGCAGUAAAGCACCACAAAGGAGGAAAUAAUAUUAGAACAAAAGGCCCUAAGGGAAAAUGUAUAUGCUAUAUGUGAGUGAAUGAGAGCCCUGUUAUAGUCAGCAUCCUGGCUUUGAAUAAUUAUGGGACCUGAAAUGGGCAGGAAACACCUUUUUUUUUUUGGCCACACCCAUGGCAUGUGGAAAUUCCUGUGCUGUAUUUGUAACCUGUACCACAGUUGUGGCUUAACCCACUGCACCAUGAGGGAAGUUCUAGGAAAUUCUGGAAGAGAGUUAGAUGUGUAAGGAGCAGAGCCAAUUAAAUAUAUAAUAUCAUUCUAAAAGUCAUGUACUGUUUCAGUAAAAGGAAAAACAACACUCUGGAGUUACUUGGUGGCACAGUGGGUUAA